ensembl:lncRNA
GGGGACCGAGUGCUGCCGUUUCCCCGGAGGGUGGUCCAGCUCGAAGGCGCACCCCGAACGGUCAGCAGGCCGACGGUUCCCCCACCGCAGGAUGAACCCAUGCCCAGCGCUGAACCACCAUCACCCCCGCGAGCGUGGCUGGCAGGCUGCAUCGUCCACCAGCACGUACCGUCGGGAGCCCCCGAAGCAGAGGUGACGGUGGAAGGGAAACGUUUCCGGGCCCUGCUGGACUCAGGCAGUGCGGUCACCCUCAUCCAGUCGCGGUUGUGCCCACCCCCCGAAUCGGCCAGAAAAGCUUCCUCCCGAUUACCUGUGUACAUGGAGAUACUCGCCAAGUACCGGCCCGAAGAAUCACCAUUGCAUCACCCCAAGGCGCCUGGCUGGUGGAGGUUGGCCUGGUGAAGGACCUGCCGGUGGUCGUACUGCUGGGGAGGGAUUGGCCCGGCUUCGACAGACUGCUCACUGCCGCUACUCAGCCUGCCAGCCCCGAGGGGAACCGUCGAAGACGGAGACGGCCUCGGGCACCCCGCCGCCGUCCGGCGCUGCUCGCCUCCGACAGUGGGAGAGAAGGUGAGUCCCCCUCCCAGCCUACUAACUUAUUUUAUGAUGUGUACCAACAGGCGGCUGGAGGGGGCUCGUUCGCCAGGGAACAGCGGGAGGACGACCGACUCAAGCACUGUUGGGCACAAGUGCGAGUCGUGGAUGGAGAGGACGUCCUUUCCCGGCCCCACCCUCUCCCACAUUUUGUCGUGGAGAAAGGCCUGCUGUACUGUGUCGCCCAGCGAAGGGGGGAGGAAAAAAAGUUGCUAGUCGUGCCUCGAGCCAAGACCGAGACCAUCCUGGAGCUGGCCCAUUCCCACCCCAUGGCAGGUCACCUCGCGGCAGCCAACACCACCCAAUGCAUCCGCGACCGCUUCCACUGGCCGGGCCUGGAGGCCGAAGUAAAGCGGUUCUGCCAAGCCUGCCCGACCUGCCAGGCCACGUCGCCCAGGACCCCUCCCCCCAGCCCACUCAUCCCGCUGCCUAUCAUCGAGGUGCCCUUCGAGCGGAUUGGAAUGGACAUAGUGGGGCCAUU